rnacentral:rRNA from 1 species
GACGAACGCUGGCGGCGUGCUUAACACAUGCAAGUCGAACGGAAAGGCCCUGCUUUUGUGGGGUGCUCGAGUGGCGAACGGGUGAGUAACACGUGAGUAACCUGCCCUUGACUUUGGGAUAACUUCAGGAAACUGGGGCUAAUACCGGAUAGGAGCUCCUGCUGCAUGGUGGGGGUUGGAAAGUUUCGGCGGUUGGGGAUGGACUCGCGGCUUAUCAGCUUGUUGGUGGGGUAGUGGCUUACCAAGGCUUUGACGGGUAGCCGGCCUGAGAGGGUGACCGGCCACAGUGGGACUGAGAUACGGCCCAGACUCCUACGGGAGACAGCAGUGUGGAAUAUUGCACAAUGGGCUGAAUCCUAAUGCAGCAACGCCGCGUGCGAGAUGACGGCCUUCGGGUUGUAUUCCGCUUUCGCCUGUGACGAAGCGUGAGUGACGGUAAUGGGUAAAGAAGCAACAGCUAACUACGGG